GAUGAAGAACGCAGCGAAAUGCGAUAAGUAAUGUGAAUUGCAGAAUUCAGUGAAUCAUCGAAUCUUUGAACGCACAUUGCGCCCGCCAGUAUUCUGGCGGGCAUGCCUGUCCGAGCGUCAUUUCAACCCUCGAACCCCUCCGGGGGGUCGGCGUUGGGGAUCGGCCCUGCCUCUUGGCGGUGGCCGUCUCCGAAAUACAGUGGCGGUCUCGCCGCAGCCUCUCCUGCGCAGUAGUUUGCACACUUGCAUCGGGAGCGCGGCGCGUCCACAGCCGUUAAACACCCAACUUCUGAAAUGUUGACCUCGGAUCAGGUAGGAAUACCCGCUGAACUUAAGCAUAUCAAUAAGCGGAGGA
rnacentral:misc_RNA from 1 species